AAAGGCGGCCCGGCGCCCCCUCCGGCAUCUCGUACACCCUGCCCCCGAAGUAGGUGAUCACCUGGUGACGACAGGUUAACAGCACGGGUGAGAGAAGGUCCUCCCUCGGACCCAGCCGGCCACACCACUGACGCCGCCAUGCAGAAGGUCCGCCCACCAGAAACAGCCCCGGCAGGCACAUUUGUGGGUGAGAGCAAGUUUGGCAGCAAAGCUGGGGGUUAAGGGCCUUGCCGAAGGGCCCACGGAUGUGAAUAUCUUGCCGAGGCUGCGCUCGAACCGGCAACCUUCCGAUCACAUGCAUAGAGACUUAGCCGGCUGAGCCACAUGCUGCCCCCUUUUAGCUCUGUUGAGUGUGUUUUUCAGCAUGAGCAUGCAGCCUGUCCUGUGUGUGCGUGUGUAUGUGCGUGUGAGAGGGCGAGAGAGAGAAAAGGAAAGAGAGAGAGAGAGAGCGAGCACAGGUCAUCUCCCCAAGAUACCUUACUGCAGGAUGAAAGGAUGAUUUACGCAUUCCACGACACAGUCCUCCGUAUCCCUCCAUCAUACUCUCAGAUGUUUGCUUUUAAUUAACAAACUCAUGCUGCCAAUUUAAAAUAAAGCCCCUUAUUGCACCGGA